rnacentral:rRNA from 1 species
AGAGUUUGAUCAUGGCUCAGAACGAACGCUGGCGGCAGGCCUAACACAUGCAAGUCGAGCGCCCCUUCGGGGGAGCGGCGGACGGGUCAGUAACGCGUGGGAAUAUACCCUUCUCUACGGAAUAGCCUCGGGAAACUGAGAGUAAUACCGUAUACGCCCUUCGGGGGAAAGAUUUAUCGGAGAAGGAUUAGCCCGCGUUAGAUUAGAUAGUUGGUGGGGUAAUGGCCUACCAAGUCUACGAUCUAUAGCUGGUUUUAGAGGACGAUCAGCAACACUGGGACUGAGACACGGCCCAGACUCCUACGGGAGGCAGCAGUGGGGAAUCUUAGACAAUGGGCGAAAGCCUGAUCUAGCCAUGCCGCGUGAGUGAUGAAGGCCUUAGGGUCGUAAAGCUCUUUCGCCAGGGAUGAUAAUGACAGUACCUGGUAAAGAAACCCCGGCUAACUCUGUGCCAGCAGCCGCGGUAAUACGGAGGGGGUUAGCGUUGUUCGGAAUUACUGGGCGUAAAGCGCACGUAGGCGGAUCAGAAAGUAAGGGGUGAAAUCCCAGGGCUCAACCCUGGAACUGCCUCUUAAACUCCUGGUCUUGAGUUCGAGAGAGGUGAGUGGAAUUCCGAGUGUAGAGGUGAAAUUCGUAGAUAUUCGGAGGAACACCAGUGGCGAAGGCGGCUCACUGGCUCGAUACUGACGCUGAGGUGCGAAAGUGUGGGGAGCAAACAGGAUUAGAUACCCUGGUAGU